CGGUUAGAUCAUUUUUGACAAUUUCCGUUUGACCGGAAAAAAAACAAAGGAUCAUUUAUGACGUUUGCCGCUCUCUCUCAAAAGCAUCCCGAUCAGCGGGUCUCUUGCUGUCCUUCAAAAAAUUCAAACGACUCUCUCUCUCUCUCUCUCUCUCUCUCACAAUUGAAGGGAAACAGAUCUGCUCUUGAUCAUCGAGAAUCAAGUCCUCUGGAACCCUAAACAAGCGCGCCCCACAGGAGCAGCGACCCGACGCUGGUGAGGGUGCGGCCGUAGACGAAGACGGGGUGUAGGAGUCAGGCGGCAAGGAGGAGACGAGCGUGAGGAGAGAGAACGGGUGGGAGAGGAUCGAGAAGGCGAGCACGGCGGAAGUAGGAGGCGUUCUUGCGGACGCGGUAGGAGGCGACGGCGAGGGUGUCGGGCCGGGAGGAAGGCGGUGUGGUCGGCGAGCACCGGCCAGGGGUGGCGCCGCGCGUUGGAGUCGGGGGAGCGUGAGGCGAACGUGCGCAAGGCCGGGGCCAGAAAACCCCUUUUUGUUUGGUCCCCUUGACCUUUCGGUGAGUUGAUUCAUCGUCUCACAUAUAUCGUCCCCUACAGACUCUUCCGAAUCGUUGUCGGAGCCAUCUGCCAUUAUCGUCUUCCACUCCAACCGGUGGCAGCUUCUCUUCAACCAUUCUAAAAAAAUCCUCAAGCAGGUAUGCAUGGCUAUGGCUCUUUAGACAUAUUCAAAGUUUGAUUAUAAAUAUUGCCAAAAAGGGAAAAGGCUUAGGGACUAAUAGUUGAGGAUGUUAAUGAAUUGAAUAGGAAAAAUCAGUUGUUGGGUGGAAGAACGAGGAAUGGGCUAGAGUGUUGUUAGCUCAUGAGGUACUACAUUUUUGUACGUGUGGUAAUUGACGCUUUAUUUUCUUAACUUUGCCUCUAAUUUUUUCUGUUCUUCCUAAUUUCCUGAUUUAACUAUGCUCGACAUUCCAAGUAGAUUACUUAGGACCUUCAACAACUUGCUGUUCAACUAAAUAAAAUAAAAAACUUGGACCUUCAACUACUUUAUUGUGUUGAUAAACAUCCAGUCCACAUUUCAUGGUUUUAGAGAGGUGAACCAUUUUGAUUUACUAUGUAGCGUAGUGUGAGACCUGUAUGCUACAGUUUUUGGUAGUUCAUACAUUUUUUUGGGAUAUUCUAUGGGAGUAACAAUCUAUCGAGUAACUCUUGGUUUUGGUUCCUAUUUGUUAGUUCUUUUGCCAUUUUGAUUUUCAUGGCAUGCCAUCUUUGGUUUGGAUGGCGCCUCGGGUAGAUAGUAACGACCACCACUUGCAUCAAAAUCGGAGAAAUUGUCUGGCCUCUGUAUCUACUCUACUUAUAAAAAUUUCAAAACGCGAAGACUAUUAAAGUGUUUCCCACACUUUACCUUCCAAAAUACCCCUUCUAAACACCUGGAAUAACUGACCCACCCAGAUGAAAUGGAAGUCUUAACUGUUUUCUCACACCGAUUUCAAAAGACCCAAAUCAGAAAGGAAACAUUAACGACGCUCCACUCUUGCGCCCCCAAAUCAGAGCGUCCUCUCUGUACCCCAAAAAAUCCUUGUCCACCAACAAUACCGAAGAUUCAGUACUCACAACGGCAUAAAAUGUUAUAUUUUAUCAACAUCACAAACAACGGCCACGACAACAGAUUUGUGGCUCCACAGUACCCACUAAAUCCAUGAGUACCGUUCUUCGUUUGCUGCUGUCCACUGCCCAGAAUCCCAUCCUGCUGAAGUUCUCUCGAUUUCAAACGGUAAGCUUUCCUUAAACUUGGUAAUCUAAUGGUGAGUUUGAAUCAUAACUGAGUUGUUCAUGCUUAACAGUUAUUGCACUUAAGAUGCUAGAUGAAUUGUUUUUGAUCCCCAUUGAGAAAGUUUCACAGAUUGCAUUUUCCUUGUCUGCUUUGAUGGUAAUCGAUAGAUCAACAUUCAUGAUCACACUCCAAAGAUAAAUCAAUGAAAGUGAAAGAUGACCAAAAGGAAGAUGCUAUGGGUCGUGAACUCCAAUUUGUUUCAGUAGACACAAAGUCAUGUACCUGGCUUUGUAAUUUCAUUAAAGAACCUAUAUGUUGUUAGCCUUCUGAGUUCACAACGUUAUUGAAUAAAGAAUUUGACAUGCUACAUAAGAUUUUAUUACAACACAUUAAUUUGUAGACGAAAACAAGAGAUUGCUCACUUCAUUUUCAUUUCUUCUUUGAAUGGCGACAUGUAAAAUUUACUAAAUCUCUCUAGCAUUUUUUGGCACACAGAAUCUGCAGUGUUUGUUCUGAUUGAUUGGAAAUCAAAAAAUCUUCUGUUGAAAAACUUUAAUUUUUUGGUCAAUAAACUCCAACUAGAACUAAUUAGCUAAAAUUUAGGGGUAUUGUGAGUUAGUGGGUAGUUUUACAAAGUUACGCUUAAAGUAGAAAAUCACAACAUACUAGGGUUAUAUCUCUCGAGAGAAUAUUGAAACGAGAACUUCUGAUUCUUUUGAGAGAGCCGCAUGCUGCAGCCUAUGGAGAUUUCCUUUGUGUUUCACUUGAGGCGAGGUAGGGAAAAUGGACAACUUGAUUGCUUGAACCCUCUAUGGUGGAGAUAUCCGUGAUGAUGGAGUACCGGUGGAGUUCUUUGAUAUGGACAGAAUGUCAAGGGCAACUCAAAUUCAAGUGGUUCAGUAAGAAGAUCCUACGAACACAGAGGACGAGAACGUUGAUGUUUCUUCUGGGGUAGUCAAGCAUAAGAAAACUUCUGGAUCAAAAAAAGAAAAGAAAGCAUAUGCUUCAAAAUCUGAAGAAAAAGGUACUGAACUGUGAUGUUGAGGCUAAUAUGUCCAUUUUUUGGGUAUCAUUCGCUAUAUAACGGUUGUGUUGUUUGUAAAUGUAGUUGAAUGAUUGAAUCUGUAGAACGUAGGAAAGCUAGAACAACUUUAAGUGAAACAGCUAAUGGAGGAAGAGGUACCUAACUAUUCUGCUUUAUGUUUCACGUAGGUAAGGUCGAAGAUCUUGGCGUACAGGUUGGGGGAGGAAACGUAUUGAUAUAUUCAUUUUUAAUCUCUUUCUUUGUUUUAGCUUUAGGUUUAAUGAUUUACUCUUUUAUGAUGCUCUUGGUUCUUAGAGUUGUCAUUAAUGUGAAUGUAGAAUGAGUUGUUCAUUUUAACAGUUGAAAAGGAUUUGGUUGCAAAAUUGCAAUCUAAGUGGAUUGCUAGCUUAUUGCUGAAUGAUUAAAGGACGCGUUUUUCUUAGUUUUCUGAAUCUCAUAUGAUGUGUUUGCGUUGUUGUAAAGGGUUGCUAGGAUAGUAAGAUUGGGUGAACGUAGGAAAGCCACAACAGUAUCAUCUUGGUAUUGUUGGUUCUAGGGUAUCUCUUUCGAUCUUCUCAGGAGGCGGGACCAUUGUUUUCUUGCUGUUCAUAUCUCAGGCGGCAGGACCAUUUUUUUACUGUGUUGGUGUUUGUCUUUAUUUCUAGCCCAUUUGUAAUUCUGGAUUAGUUGCAAACUCGCUAUUACGUCGCACCGUGCCUUCAAGCACGGGCAAUUCCUAGUGUUUUUUCAUGAGAAUUCAGGUUAAAUGAAGAACAUGGUUAUUAGUAGAGAAGAGUAGUCAUUUAUGUACACAAUUUGAAUAAAUGGACCAUGUUUGAAGUUUAUUUGAGAAAAUGAUUUUUGAGUUGUCGGUGGGGUGUUCAAUUGAAGAAAAAAGGCAAUCCAAUUUAGUUGUUUCCAAAACGUGUUGCGCCGUGCCUUUAGGCACGGACAAUUCCUAGUCUAUAUAACAAGAGAGGUUUUUUUUUUUUUUCAAAUUGUGUAGACACAAACUGACAUGGCUCAAAAAUCCAUUUUGGAGGCAACCUGGCAGGUAUGAGUUUAUUUUUCUCUGUUUUUAGAGGUUUUUUUCUCAUCCAAUACAUAGAUCCCCUUUUGUACUAGUUACUUUGAUUUUAUUUUCAGUUAAGGUGGUCUGUUGUGAGUUCUUAUUCGAAUCAUGAAGUCCACUGGAGCUGCCACCGGGAGCUUUCAAAUUGACUCACAGAAGUUAUUUUUUUCACUAUUGUUGUUGUUGGAUGCUCUACCUUCUUGAUAAAAUACGUUCUUGAUAAAAAUGGCCAUGGUUUGAGGGUUGACUAAAAAGGAAAUUAGAGUUCUGGGGAAGUGUAGUAUCGUGUUGUGAUGAUAUGAUAAGGUUAUUUUUUGAUGUGCUUUUGUACUACAUGUAGUAGUCUAAUGUGACAAAGAAUUCUUUUUUGGGCUUUAAAUUGAUGGUGUAAAUGGGGAAUGGAGUAGAAAAUCAGUAGAUUAGGUAUGACUUGGAAGAAGAAGCUUUGUUGUUAGAAUGAAUUUUUUCGCCAUGAAUACUGCAUUGGUUUCUCCAAUUUUUGUGUGGAAAGUGAUAAGUAAUUUAUUCUACAAGUAAUUGUUACCUAUCACAAUUUAAGAAAGGGAUCAUAUUGUUGAUUUAUGGAUCUGGCCUUCUUCGUUUUUCUUUAAACAAAUUGGUCAAGGGAGUGCUUUUGUUUUGGAUCUCUCUUGCAUUAGGUGGUGAUUAGUUUGAUUGUGGAAAUCCAGAUUUGGGGUUCUUUUUGUUAUGGAAUGCAAUGAGGUGGCGGCAACAUUGACAUGGUGUACUAAUCGGCCACGAGUAGGUGAGAUUGUGGUUGAUCCAUUAUGGGGUUUCACUGAUGAGUUACUUAUCUUGGUUUUCUUCAAUAUUUUAAGCAAUUACCUCCAUUUAGCCUUGUGGGAUUCUAACUGUAUCUUUCAUUUUUUCUAGGUACGAGUACGACUAAGGUAUCAAUCAUUCUCUGUUCUGAGGUGUUUUAGCACAUAUAAACUGUUUGAGUUGGUGUUUUAAUUUUCCUUCUUUCACGUAAAAUUGUUUGCGACAAGGCAUAGACAUUUUAUUAGCAUUGGGGAAGAUAGUUUUUUUUUCCCCUCCGAGGAUACUCGAUUAGUAAAUGGUAUAAACUAGAGUAUUGUCCUAGGAGUAAUGAAGUUGAAAUUGCAUUACCUUUUAGCAUUUUGCCAAAACAGAGAGGAAAGAGAACACAGCUAAUUGUCCAAUGCUUUGUUUUAUGGGUUUUAUGGGUAAUUUGUUUGCCAUACAGGACCAAAGACUAGGAGAAAGUUAUGCCCUUUUGUGCUUCUCAAACUGUACUCAUUUUUUUGAAGCCAAAGAAGUAUUACUAUUAUUAUUACUCUACUACAGAUAAUGAACUCCGAAUUACAUUUUUUUUUUCCGGUACUCUGAAUUGCAUUACCCUUAUCUUUUUGUUGAUACUAUGAACUGGUAUGCAUGGCUUUGGCUCUUCCGACAUAUUCAAAGUUCGAUUAUAAAUAUUGCCAAAAAGGGAAAAGGCUUAGGGAGUAAUAAAUUUAAUUUUUUUUAUUCUUUUGAAACCAGCCUUAAAAUUGCUUUAGGUAGGAUAUUUACCUAAUUUGGUACCAUUUUGUGAUUCGCUAGUCAUUCCCAUUUAAUUAAAACUUAUUAUUUUCAGAUUGCUAAUUUGCUUUUUUGCCUUCCAUUGUGACACUCUUGGAGAUUGCUCUAUCACUACGGGAACACGCGACACGUAGAUCAGAUCAGAUUGCUAUUUCCCCCUUUUGCUAAUUUUUUUGAUCUGCACUGAGGCUACAUCUGGGUGAAUAAUGCAAAACAUACUAGAUUAGACUGGCGAUUGGAAUGAGAAAAUGACAAAUUUCAUUUGUUGUUUGUAAAGGAGACACGGAACACUCAAGUUGUAAGAAAGUCCAAAUGACGAAUCACAGGACUAAAUGGCAAUGGCUGAUGCGGCGAUGCCUCUAUCCUUUCUUUUGUGCAUCAUGAACAGGUUUGUAGUUCACAGUUCCUUAGCUCAUCCCUGAGUAUCACUUCUGGUAAUAAACUUUACUGCUAUAUGCUUAAACAAUGCAAUUGUUCUUAUUUGCUCCUUAGUAAGAGGGAAUGGGUUGCCUUCAUUGAGGAGCUUUAUGUUCUAAGAUUGAGCUUGACGGUACAGUUUCUUUAACCAUUGAAUGUGAUGAUUAUACUGGUAAUUCCUCAUGCCGUCGGUGGUACAGUUACUCCCUCCAUCCCAUAAUAUUUGUCCGGUCCGCAAAACGAAGGCGUGAAAAUAAUAUAAUUUUUGUAAGAAAAAAUCAAAUUUUUUUUCAACAAUGUACUAGAUAACGAUGAGUUAUGAAAAAAUUUUGAAUUUUUUCUUGAAAGAAGUGCAUUAUUUUUGAGUUUUCGUUUUGCGGAUCAGACAAAUAUUUUGGGAUGGAAGUAGUAAUUGUCAAUAUUACUAGAUUUGUUUUAUUGUUUUAGUAGCAACUCUGAGCACUUUUGAAGCUAUAUAUUUUUUCGACGAACUUAAUACUCUUGGCACUUUCCAUGUUUAUGUUUAUAGAAGCCAUUGGUUUGAGUACUUCUAACUUGCUGUAAAGAUAGUUAGCACCACGGCAGUACAACCGGGGUGCAAAAAGCCUUAUAUCCUGUGCAUGAAAAAACAAUUCAAAAUCCUCAACGAAAUCUAGAUAGUGUGUAAAUUUCAAAAUUGUAUGCAAGCCACUGAGUUUAUACAUCGUAUGCAAGCAUCAUCCAGGAAAGUGCAUGGAACACAGUGUGUUCAUUGUAGGUUCCACAAUUUCUAACUUUUUUGUUUUAUUCAAUCAUCUAUAUAACAAGGGAGGUUUUUUUUUUUUUCAAAUUGUGUUGACACAAACUAACGUGGCUCAAAAAUUCAUUUUGGUAGCAACUUGGCAGGUGGUGAUUAGUUUGUCUGUGGAAAUCCAGAUUUGGGGUUCUUUUUGCUAUGGAAUAUAGUGAGGUGGCGGCAGCGUUGACAUGGUGUACUAAUCGACCACAAGUAGGUGAGGUUUUGGUUGAUCCAUUAUGGAGUUUCACCGAUGAGUUACUUAUCUUGGUUUUCUUCAAUAUUUUAAGCCUUUACUUCCAGUUAGCCUUAUUGGAUUCUAACUGUAUCUUUCAUUUUUUCCAGGUACGAGUACGAUUGAGGUAUCAUUCGUUCUCUGUCCCGAGGUGUUUUAGUACAUAUAAACUGAUUGAGUUGAUGUUUUAAUUUUUCUUCUUCCGCAUAAAAUUGAUUGCGAGAAGCUAUAGACGUUCUGUUUUGUUUUCUAGCAUUCGGGAAGAUAGUUUUUUUUUUUUCCCUUAAGAGGAUACUCGAUUAGUAAAUGGUAUAAACAAGAGUAUUGUCCUAGGAAUAAUGAAAUUGAAAUUGCAUUACCUUUUAGCAUUUUGCCGAAAGAGAGAGGAAAGAGAAUACGGUUAAUUGUCCAAUGCUUUGUUUUAUGGGUUUUCAUUGGCCAAAUUGCUUUUCGCAAAUAAACCUGAAUAUUAUUGGAUGAUAACUUUAUAUAUAUCUAUCUAUACUACUUUUUGCUCUCAAAAAAUGCCCCAACCAAUUUCUAUGAAUCCCAAACCCAUCCCACGCCCCUUCCCCACCCUUCCAUAACUGGCAGACCUGUUUCCUCCCCUUGGCAGCUGAAUCUUUUUACAAUCCUAAGUGUACCUUUUAGAAAUCUAACAAUGGAAUGCAUCUGUUGGUGAGGAAACAUUUUUACUCAAUUGUAAGAACCCUUGGCAUACUAUCAAAUGACUCGACUGCAAGUAAGCUUCUCUGAUUAUAGAGAAGUGCCUCAAACCCACCACUUGAUCCUGAUGAAAUCUAUUCUCCAUCUCCAGUAUCUUUGUGGCAUUCUAGAAUGGGAGAGUAAUUUACCGACUGUUAGGAUCGGGCCGUCGACUCUUCGGAGAUUUCGACGGUUCAUUUCCCCUGUCGAUUCAAUUGCAUAGGGAAUAGUCAUUUUGAUGUGGUCUGGUCAAUUUUCAUCGAUCUUCACUAAGUUCCCAAGGCAAUGACUUUGUCCUUUACAGCGAUGGCUACUGUGUUUCGAGAUCUGUGUCCAUUGCUGCUUCUGUUUCUCAGGUGGUAUGCAGUGAGGAUCAUGGGUGGCCAUUGAGCGGUGUAGCGGUGGCUAUCCGACCUCCCUUUUCAGUCAUGUGUAACUAGAUGUCUUCUCAUUGAAGCUUCGGGUACAGAAGCCGCAUAGGAGCUUAACGGGAAUAGUUCUCUGUGGUUUCAACUUAACCAUCGACUCGGUGUUCCAUUUCCUCGAUUGAUUGAGGCAGUACUGGUCCAGCGGCUCCAGUCGUCUAUGGGUUUAAUUAAGGAGAUGUGGAGUUCAAUUAUGGGUUUCUUGCAAGAGAAGAAUAAUUAAGCCACAAAAGUCGACACUUGAUUGUCGUCAAUGUUGACACACUAGGACACAUAUAGGGACCCGAUAGAGCGAUCAUUUUUACAAAUUUUAAAAGCUUUUCCAUGAUAAGUUAUUUAAAAACUUAAAAAGUAUUGAUGCCAAAAUUGUAUUAUAAAACAUAUGUGUAUGCGUAUCGGCAAACACCAUCGGUCGAUAAUCCGUUCAAUAAGAGUCUCGACUUAAA